UUCAGGUUCUUGUAUCCAAAUUCGAACGUCCAAAUGCCGUGCAGGUUUAAUUUCCGGUUACACCCUUCGGCAGACGUGAUCAUGAGGAGAUUGUCAUGUUGUAUAGCGAAAUUUAUGGAACCAAUCAAGAGAAGGUGGAAAAAAAAAUUCAUUUCCUCAACGUGAAUGGUUUCUCUAUCCGCAGUGACGACUGAGCUAGCGUUUGCAUACGAUACACGCAAAUCGACGAGUUAUUCAUGCAGACGUUGACUGAUUGAAUCCGGUAUGAAAACAAUCGAUUGCAGGGAUUGAACGCGCAAGGAUUAGCGCGCAGGAUGAAUUCAUCAAUGGCCUUCGAAAACCAAUAAAACGAAAUAAUAUUGUUCGAGAAAAUAUCAGAAGCGCAACUCACCCUGGAACUCCUUACGCGCGGCACUGACGGAUGUGACGAUAUUAGCGACGUGACCUAAGACGGUUGCGAAGAGGAGCAGCCCGAAGAGUAAUUGACCAAUGACGAAGAGGGCUUCGAUCAACCGAAAGCUUGAUUCCUUUUGUUACGAGUAUAAUGCUCACCUUGGUAGGUCACCGAUCGUUGUUAACGCUAACGUACACCAGUAGUAACUCUGUAGAUACUGUUUGACAACAUCGGCGGUUUCCGAAUC